AUAGAAAUGUUGGUGCUAAAAAUUUUAAUUUCAAAUGAAACCAUAUGAAAAAUAGCUUCUCAAAACUUAUACCUCUGUGGCUACUCUUAGUAAGACAGUGUGGUUUUAUUAGUUUAUGAGGCCAUUUUCAAUAGUGUUGUAAAGACCAAUGUUGAUCCGAACAAACUGGGAUGGCCAGUUACAUUGUGACUCCCGGGUCGAUAUCCUUUAUCUCUGGACUUCCUCCUGUGGUGGAAUUUCAGAGAACUGCCAGAUGCUGCCCGUUGGGGAUCAGGAAGCCGGGUCCAGGAGGACUAGAGAAAGCUGGCUGCACACGAUGGGACCCAGGGCCUAAGGAACAGAAAAGGAGGAGCAGAAACUCUGCAUCACCCCUGCCAAGUGGACUUUGACCAUCAAUGAUGAAGUCCUGGUUACCGCUUGCAUCAGACCAUUCCAUGCAUGGAUCCCUUUUUACCUGUGAGAAGAUUCUUCUAUCUCUGAAUGGAUGCUAAAGAGACACAAUAUUCUUGUCUCCUGGGAGGGGAACUGGAUGGAUGGGGAUUUUACAAAAAUGCUCUUUGUAUUCUUUGAAUUUUGAAAUGUCAGGACAUUAUCAAUAAAGACAUGACAGUAAAA